rnacentral:rRNA from 1 species
GAUGAACGCUGGCGGCGUGCCUAAUACAUGCAAGUCGAGCGAACAGACGAGGAGCUUGCUCCUCUGACGUUAGCGGCGGACGUGUGAGUAACACGUGGAUAACCUACCUAUAAGACUGGGAUAACUUCGGGAAACCGGAGCUAAUACCGGAUAAUAUAUUGAACCGCAUGGUUCAAUAGUGAAAGACGGUUUUGCUGUCACUUAUAGAUGGAUCCGCGCCGCAUUAGGUAGUUGGUAAGGUAACGGCUUACCAAGGCAACGAGGCGUAGCCGAACUGAGAGGGUGAUCGGCCACCCUGGAACUGGGACACGGUCAAGACUCCUACGGGAGGCAGCAGUAGGGAAUCUUACGCAAUGGGCGAAAGCAUGACGGAGCAACGCCGCGUGAGUGAUGAAGGUCUUCGGAUCGUAAAACUCUGUUAUUAGGGAAGAACAAAUGUGUAAGUAACUAUGGACGUAUUGACGGUACCUAAUCAGAAAGCCACGGCUAACUACGUG